UGCCUUUUUGUGUUGCCCGUUCAUUGUUUAUUCAGUGAAUGUGGUGUCAAUAAAGGCAUACAUUAACUUUUGAGGUGAAUGAGUAAAAAUGUUCUCUUGUGACCAUUUUGUUUCCUUUUCUCUCAAGCACAUUU
ensembl:snoRNA